rnacentral:ncRNA from 1 species
AAAAUCUCAAAGGGGUGCUUUUAUACGAAGCUGAGAUUAUACCCAUUGAACCUAGAACAGGUAAUGCUGUUUAGGAAUGAGGAACAUGUCUUU